rnacentral:rRNA from 1 species
UGGGGAAUAUUGCACAAUGGGGAAACCCGUGAUGCAGCGACGCCGCGUGAGGGAAGAAGGUUUUCGGAUUGUAAACCUCUGUCCUUGGUGACGAAAAUGACGGUAGCCAAGGAGGAAGCCACGGCUAACUACGUGCCAGCAGCCGCGGUAAUACGUAGGUGGCAAGCGUUGUCCGGAAUUACUGGGUGUAAAGGGAGCGUAGGCGGGAAGAUAAGUUGGACGUCUAAUCUAUCGGCUCAACCGAUAGUCGCGUUCAAAACUGUUUUUCUUGAGUGAAGUAGAGGUAAGCGGAAUUCCUAGUGUAGCGGUGAAAUGCGUAAAUAUUAGGAGGAACACCAGUGGCGAAGGCGGCUUACUGGGCUUUAACUGACGCUGAGGCUCGAAAGCGUGGGUAGCAAACAGGAUUAGAUACCC